AAGGUUUUAGGUUAAACAAACCAGUAGCCUUCAAAGUUAAAAAUAAAUUAAAUUUAGACCUUA
rnacentral:tRNA from 1 species